rnacentral:rRNA from 1 species
UACGUAGGGGGCUAGCGUUGUCCGGAAUCAUUGGGCGUAAAGAGCGUGUAGGCGGUCCGGUAAGUCCGCUGUGAAAGUCGGGGGCUCAACCCUCGAAUGCCGGUGGAUACUGUCGGGCUAGAGUGCGGAAGAGGCGAGUGGAAUUCCUUGUGUAGCGGUGAAAUGCGCAGAUAUCAGGAGGAACACCUAAUGCGAAGGCAGCUCGCUGGGACGUAACUGACGCUGAGACGCGAAAGCGUGGGGAGCAAACAGG